UGCAAGUGGGGGUUUUCCUAGUAACGGCGUCCCUCACCCGCUUACUGUCAGUGCAAUCGAUUGACGCGUGACUAUUGCUCAGAGAGAGCCAUCGUGACACACUCUUAAAGGCACAGGCUGAUAGAGCCAUUGCAGGACGUGAUUCCUGUAUGCCACCGAUUAGCUGCGUGCUUGUCUGUCCCUGCUGCCCCCUUCGCUCUCCUGCCUCCUAAUCCUUCCUCUGCCUCUGCUACCCAGCUUCUAGCGCCUGACUUACUAAAGAACUCAUACAGAGAUAAACAGGCCACCCUUUAGCCUGUCUCACAGUUUCAGUGUGAAUCCUUCUGUGAAAGAGGACUUGGACAGUCUAAUCUACACUUUGCAAUGCGACGAUGAUCAUCUCCUCCACAUUGCCACUUCAGAACAUAGAAACCAGCCAUCGGGGGACAGCUUAAAGGACCUCUGCAAUAGUGUUGCAGCACUGACAAGAGUUGUAGGGGGCUUCUAGUGCUGCCAAGGGGCCUGAGAUACCUGGAUGUCAAGUGUGAGGGAGCCUGCAAUCCUGGCCCAGUGGAGCAGUGAACCCCAACCAGGAAGGAGGACAAGACCCUGGCCAUAGGGGAGACCACCUUGCUGUUGAAUGGCUCUUACCAGGGAUAGCCCCAGUACUCCUG